CCAAAUGUCAUGUAUACUAUAAUCUAUUGAUGACUGGGUGUUGCAAGAGCCAAAUGUCAUGUAUACUAGAAUCUAUUGAUGGUUGGGUGUUGCAAGAACCAAAUGUCAGGUAUACUAGAAUCUAUUGAUGGCCCGGUGUUGCAAGAACCAAAUGUCAGGUAUACUAGAAUCUAUUGAUGACUGGAUGUUGCAAGAACCAAUUGUCAUGUAUACUAGAAUCUAUUGAUGGCUUGGUGUUGCAAGAACCAAAUGUCAUGUUUACUAGAAUCUAUUGAUGACUGGAUGUUGUAAGAACCAAAUGUCAGGUAUACUAGAAUCUUUUGAUGGCUGGGUGUUGCAAGAACCAAAUGUCAUGUAUACUAGAAUCUAUUGAUGACUAAGUGUUGCAAUGGCCACUAAAAUCAGAUCGAUAGUCUAGUCUUGCACAAUCUUGGUUUCGUCAUGUCCUAUCCCUUCGUUGUUUUCGAACCAAAUUAGUUCAGUACCAACUGAACUUUAACCUUUUUUUACUUCGUCAUUAGUCUAACCUCAAGUGGAAAUGUACAAGAAAUAUACACACUUACACACACACAAACACAUCUCUUCC
rnacentral:sRNA from 1 species